CCAGCGCUUGUCAGCCUCGCAGAAAGGAUAUAAGGAUUUUAAGUGGGAAGUAAUUCGCUGUCAUAACUGCUCUGGAAUUGGCCACAUGAAAAGAAAUUGCCCUUCUCCAAGGAAGACUACCAGGAGUCAACCGCCAGCUGUUCUCCGUCACAGCCUCGAGCCCACUGUGCUUCACUUUAGAACCCACAGUCAAGAAAUGAGCAUUCAUCUGAAAAUCAAUGAGUUAGAUGUCUGUGCUGUGCACCACUACAAUGCCAUCCACCCUGACGUCCGAACCCCACUUCAACCAUCAGCUGUGAAGACGUUGCUGGGUGUUGGGCCUGGUGAUGUUCCCGUGAUCGGCGAGGUUCACGUUCCGGUCCAGAUCAACAACCGGCAGGUGAGCGUGCACUUCUUGGUGGCUGACAUCACAAGCGAAGAGGCCCUCUUGGGUCAUCCGUUCCUCACCCAGGCCCAAGCACACCUUGACUUUGGAAAUAGCCGCAUCAUACUCUUUGGCGAGGAAGUGCCAUACUUUCACAGCAUGGGCCCGUCAAGGACGCGGGUGGUGAGAGUGGCCAGGACAGUGGUGGUUGAGGCUGGAUUGGAAUAUGUAGUCAGAGGCAACACUCGUCUUAAAGACCAUCUCACAGGCGAAGUGAUGUUGAGCCCCACCAAGGGCUUCGUAGAGAAAUAUAAGGUGCUAGUUGCCCGUGUUCUGGUGGAAGGCCAGCCCUCCAAAGGUGUGCCCCUCCGCAUCUUCAAUCCUGGAAACUCAGCAGUAACCAUUAGAAGGGGAGCUAUCGCGGGUUUUCUCCAACCUGCUGAAGUCUUGGCACCUGCCAAUAUCACAGCCAGUGCCAAACCGUCGGAACAUCCUAUUGUUCCCCAGCACCUGCGAGAGCUGUACGACCAGAGUGCAGCUGAGCUUAGCCAAGACGAACAGCUUCAGCUAGCCCAACUGCUGUGCACCUAUGGCAAUGCAUUCUCGACUGGACCAGGUGAUCUGGGCCGCACAAGCCUGGUGCAACACGAUAUCAUGACCCAGCCAGGAGCUCCAGUUAAGCAACCUCCACGUCGGAUGGCACGAGAGAAGCAACAGGAUGCUGACCAACAAGUACAGCAGAGCCUGGAAGUCGGUUUGGCCCGUCGCGGCCAUAGCAGCUGGGCCUCGCCCAUAGUGA
rnacentral:lncRNA from 1 species